rnacentral:rRNA from 1 species
UACAGAGGUCUCAAGCGUUGUUCGGAUUCAUUGGGCGUAAAGGGUGCGUAGGUGGCGCUGUAAGUCAGGUGUGAAAUUUCGGAGCUUAACUCCGAAACUGCAUUCGAUACUGGCGUGCUUGAGGACUGGAGAGGAGACUGGAAUUUACGGUGUAGCAGUGAAAUGCGUAGAUAUCGUAAGGAAGACCAGUGGCGAAGGCGGGUCUCUGGACAGUUCCUGACACUGAGACACGAAGGCCAGGGGAGCAAACGGG